rnacentral:rRNA from 1 species
CGGCAGCACGGGAGCAAUCCUGGUGGCGAGUGGCGAACGGGUGAGUAAUACAUCGGAACGUGUCCUGUAGUGGGGGAUAGCCCGGCGAAAGCCGGAUUAAUACCGCAUACGCUCUACGGAGGAAAGGGGGGGAUCUUAGGACCUCUCGCUACAGGGGCGGCCGAUGGCAGAUUAGCUAGUUGGUGGGGUAAAGGCCUACCAAGGCGACGAUCUGUAGCUGGUCUGAGAGGACGACCAGCCACACUGGGACUGAGACACGGCCCAGACUCCUACGGGAGGCAGCAGUGGGGAAUUUUGGACAAUGGGGGCAACCCUGAUCCAGCAAUGCCGCGUGUGUGAGGAAGGCCUUCGGGUUGUAAAGCACUUUUGUCCGGAAAGAAAACUUCGGCCCUAAUACGGCGGGAGGAUGACGGUACCGGAAGAAUAAGCACCGGCUAACUACGUGCCAGCAGCCGCGGUAAUACGUAGGGUGCAAGCGUUAAUCGGAAUUACUGGGCGUAAAGCGUGCGCAGGCGGUUCGCUAAGACAGAUGUGAAAUCCCCGGGCUUAACCUGGGAACUGCAUUUGUGACUGGCGGGCUAGAGUAUGGCAGAGGGGGGUAGAAUUCCACGUGUAGCAGUGAAAUGCGUAGAGAUGUGGAGGAAUACCGAUGGCGAAGGCAGCCCCCUGGGCCAAUACUGACGCUCAUGCACGA